CUCAUUUUUCUCUUGCCGCCACCACGAAAGAAGUGCCUUUUGCCUCCCGUCAUGAUUCUGAGGCCUCCCCAGCCAUGUGGAACUGUUUGAGGCACAGAGCUGUAUAUACAAUAACAGUGAAAUUGAUCCCACUACUAAUUAUGACAAAAAUGAUCUUCCACGUAAACAGGUGGUGAAGCUCCUUAUGGUCCUGACCCUACAGUUCCUGUCCCAUGACCAGGGCCAGAUCACCAAGGAGCUGCAGCAGUUCGUCGUCAGUGGCAGCCCCAUGCGAGCACCCGAGGAAGGGCUGUGACCGUCUAUGACAAGCCAGCAUCUUUCUUUCAAGAGACCUCUGGACCUGCAGCACCAACUCUUCAUGAAGCUGGGCGGCACGCACUCUCCGUUCAGGGCCUGAACCUGAGGACCCAGACACGGAGCGGUCGGCCUUCAUGGAGCGGGAUGCUGGGAGCGGGCUGGUGAUGCGCCUCCGCGAGCGGCCAGCCCUGCUGGUCAGCAGCACAGGCUGGACAGAGGACGAAGACUUCUCCAUCUGCUGGCAGCUUUAGAAAGUAGAGUUUGAACAACUGACUCUUGAUGGACACAACCUUCCUUCUCUCGUCUGUGUGAUAACAGGCAAAGGGCCUCCGAGGGAGUAUUACAGCCGCCUCAUCCACCAGAAGCAUUUCCAGCACAUCCAGGUCUGCACCCCUUGGCUGGAGGCCGAGGACUACCCCCGCUUCUAGGGUCGGUGGAUCUGGGUGUCUGUCUGCACACGUCCUGCAGUGGCCUGGACCUGCCCAUGAAGGUGGUGGACAUGUUCGGGUGCUGUUUGCCUGUGUGUGCCGUGAACUUCAAGUGGCAGGAGCAGAACCCGAAUCUUUCUGGGGAUAGCUUCACAGAUCCACCGCUGAGGAGGAAACAGUGCAGAGCGAGCUGCCCACAGUGAGGCCCUGCUCCUGGUUUACAUGAGCUGGUGAAACAUGAAGAAAAUGGCCUGGUCUUUGAGGACUCAGAGGAACUGGCAGCUCAGCUGCAGGUGCUUUUCUCAAACUUUCCUGAUCCUGCGGGCAAGCUAAACCAGUUCCGGAAGAACCUGCGGGAGUCGCAGCAGCUCCGAUGGGAUUAGAGCUGGGUGCAGACUGUGCUCCCUUUGGUUAUGGACACAUAACUCCUGGGCCAGAGGCUAAAACCCCGGGACCCCUGCUGUCCUUCCCACAGCUUCUUCUCAGAGUCUCAGGGCAAAUCCUUUCGAGCAGCGCCUCCCAGUGGCCAGAAGCUGAAAUGAUGGCAGUAGUGCCACCUGGUGAAUGAAUUGGUUCUGUGACCCGGGAA
rnacentral:lncRNA from 1 species